AGAGCAUAGCGAGGACUGAGUAUGCUCUUUCUUUUGCCAGUCCUCCUUUCCUCCUGCAUUGUUUCCCCUUCUUCUCACACCAAACUCGUGGAGUUAAUAUCUUACAGAUGAGGAAAAAGAAGCUUAGAGAACUUGAGUGUUGUGUCUAAGGUCACACACUUCAGAGACGGAUACUAAUGGGGAAGAAGAAUGAACUUUGGACCCAAAAGCACAAGCAUACUCUUAGCGCCUCCAUCUGGAAGGGACUCUGAUCAUUUCUGCCACUGCUUCCGAUCCAGCAAGCCCAUGUGGCCAUACGGCAGUUCAGCAAUGUGAGGAAGCAUGACCCCCUUACAGGAGGAAUCCCAAGGACCACAGCUAUCAACACCCCAGAAUCAUAAGCAACCCUAAAUUUAGUUAGUUAUUAAUAGUCAAACCACUCCAAAAGCAAAAUUAGAAAUCCCUAAAAAGAUUGCACGGACAAAAUUUAUUCCGUGUGGGUGCAUUCGGACAUGCUUGAUGUGACGCAGAGCCUCCGGAAGCUGGGGGGUCCAGGGCCUAGGAGCUGUCGGUCGGCCCUGCCAACAGCCUUGUCCAGUCGCUUUCCUUCCCUGAUACAUUCUUUUUGCUUGGUGAGGUCCCCGAGUCAGAAGGCCCCUCAGUGUCUCCUCCAUCUAAAAACCUGUGAAUAGUU